CAGGCUUAAAUAAAUGUUUGACAUCUUUGUCUCUUGGCACAUAAAUGAGAAACAGAUCGCCUACCUGAAUGAGUUAAAUUAAAAGCACCAAUGGGGCAGGAGCAAAAUCACAGAAGGGAAAUAUGAGAGACCUUUAUAAAGAGACUGUGGAGCAUCACACCACCCUGCAGAGAGUUUUAAUUUCCGUUCAAUAAUCUCUUUUAUAAUUGGCAAGAUCCGAGAUUUCCACAGAUUUUCUCUCAGUACAUCCAGUUGCCCCACACUAGGAGAACAAACAUGAUUAUGAGAGUAAGCUUCCAAGAAAAAUAUAUUCUUAUGAGCACAGGAGGACAAAGUAAAAAUGAAUAAAGCAUUCGUCUUCUAACAC